UCCAUCUCAACAUAUAAUAUUGUAAACCACAAAUUAUACACUUCAUACAUAACGUGUUGGUUAGAUAAUAAAAAUUAUCAAAAUUUCAACCGAUUUAAUAAAAUUAACAACACCGCAUACAUAACAUUUAAAAUUAUGACAAUUCGAACAGUUAGUUGCAAUUGACGCAUUUCAAUUUUCACCCUCGAUAAUUUGUUGGAGUCGUUAGUAUUCGUUGGAUGAGUUGUUACAUUUAAACGUUUGGAUGUGUCCAUUUUCAACCUCCCUUGAUUAUGCAACACUCAAACAUAUUCGUUACACCAACUGAUGAAGUUACCACAUUGCUGCAUAUUUUGGGACACAAUAAAUUUAUUUACUUAUAUAAAAGGAACACAUAUACAAAAAUUACAAUAAAUAAAUACAUACCAUUCUUAAAUAAGAAUACUAUUUUGCUAACGCAGGAGCUAAUUUGGACUUAAGAAUCACUAUAAAGAUCAAGACAAACUAAAUGUGCCUCAAACAUUGAUUUAAUGAAAGCAUAUGAUUCGUUACAUAAGGACUACUUAAGCAACUACCCAUUUUCUUAUCAAUUAUCUACAAGUAGUGGAUAUCUCCUUACCAUACAUGAUAAGAUAUGGCAUUAAAAAUGGAAACAUGUACUUUUGAAUCCUUUCCUUCCCAUCCAAAUCCCACCCCCUAAAUGAAACACACUCUAAAGCUAUCCUAGGCUAGAAAAGAAGGGGAUGGGGGAGUGAAAAGGACAGAGCACCAGCAACCAGGAAAAAUAAGCCAUGAAUCUGACGAUGUACACUUGUUUGGUAUAAAUACCUGUGCAUAAACCAGGAAAAAAGAAGGGUAUGAACAUGAACACUUGUUUGGUAUAAAUACCUGUGCAUAAACCAGACCAUGCCAAACAGAUUUGCAAUUCAUAUUUGUAAAAUGUUGUUUCAAAUGAAUCAAAAACGAAAUUUCAAACUACAAAGGUAUACUUUAAAUUUACAACCUACAAGAAGUCACUCUAACAAGAUGAUGGGUAUCCAUGUAUAUAAAUGGUUGUUUCAGAAAAAAGUUAAUCAAAUAACAGUAAUAAUUUCCUACCACUAAGCAGGAAUCACCAGGCAUCAAUCACAGAUGGUUCCGUUCAAGAAAAAAAGUGGUAGCUGUUAUCUACACAGUAGGUGUUGGUGUACAAUAAAAGUACACCAGUAUUUAACUCUUAUUCAUUAAAAUUCACAAACGUUCUAAAAACCAAGAAUUAAAAUUCACAAACGUUCUAAAAACCAAGAUCCAAACCACAAGAUUAUUUACAAAAAACAAAAAUACCAACCAAACAGGGUCAGAUUUCAGAUGGCUACACUCUCCGAUGAUGGAUUAUCACUUCAAACCAAAUAUGCAAUGGGAAAGUAACUUGACAGAUGCCAUGGGAUCUCAAAUGACAUGCACGUGUAUGGACAGUUAAAAACCUGCGUUUUUUACUUUUCGUUUUCAUUUUCUCUUUUUGCUGUAUUUUUUAAACAGCAAAUACACACCAUGCCACUCGCAAACAAUUAAACACAUAGACAGAGAGACAAAAUACGUAAUAGAAAAAUAGCAAUAAACUACCUCCAAAAUCGUGCUGCCCAGAAACCAUUUCUGUCUUCUGUCUGCAAAUUCAUUUAUGACCAAAUGAGAUAAGAGAAGAGGGAAUUAGGCAGUUGUUUAUACUAAUGGAUCAAAAAAGGCAUUAAUUGCAGCAUAUAUAAACGGAAAAUAUGUAAUCAAAGAGCUAUAAAACUGUAAAUUCUUGAAUCAGUAGAAUCUUCACAUAAUUAACAGAUGAACACAAAUUAAACAACUACAGACUAAAUAGAAAACCAGUUUGAACACAAAUUAGGUCACGAGUUGUACGAAUUAGGCCACGAUAAAUUAAAGGAACCAGCAGACCAGCAGCCACGACGAGCAACCGCCGGAAAAGGACAGAUUUUUAAAUAACAAACCUAGAUUUUUAACGCGAAAAAAAAUUACAAACCCAAUAAAGUUAUGGAGUUUUACCUUCCGAUCCGUUUGCUAUGGUUUCGUCGCGGAGACUUUUGAUGAGCUAUUCCGUCUGCUACUUUAGCGUGUGAGAGAGAGGGGGAAAAAGUUAGGGAGAGAAAGUAGGUUGAGCUCUGAUCUGAGCUCUGGUUCUAUUUUGAAAGUAAUUUGAGGCAGAGCAUCACCUGCGUGUUUUUUUCAAUUUGACCUGUACGCUCAACCGGCGUGUUUUUUACCCAAUUCGUCUUUAAUCCGUGACUUAAGUUCGCUGGAGAAGGAUUUUGUGUGUAUAUAUAUAUAUAUAUAUAUAUAUAUAUAUAUAUUGAGAGAGCUAGUGCAUAUGGAAGUGGUA
rnacentral:lncRNA from 1 species